AAGUCGUAACAAGGUUUCCGUAGGUGAACCUGCGGAAGGAUCAUUACCGUGUUCCCUGCCCUCACGGGUAGAAACGCCCACCCGUGUAUAUUUUAUCUUGUUGCUUCGGCAGGCCGCCCUGGGGCACCGGCUUCGGCUGGAUCGCGCCUGCCAAAGGACCUCAAACUCUGAAUGUUAGUGUCGUCUGAGUACUAUACAAUAGUUAAAACUUUCAACAACGGAUCUCUUGGUUCUG
rnacentral:misc_RNA from 1 species